rnacentral:misc_RNA from 1 species
UCUCCGUUGGUGAACCAGCGGGGGGAUCAUUACCGAGUUUACAACUCCCAAACCCCUGUGAACAUACCUAUGUUGCUUCGGCGGGAUCCCCCCGGCGCCUUCGGGCCCGGACCCAGGCGCCCGCCGGAGGACCCAAACUCUUGUCUUCAUGAGAAUCUUCUGAGUGAUACAAGCAAAUAAAUUAAAACUUUCAACAACGGAUCUCUUGGUUCUG